rnacentral:tRNA from 1 species
GCAGGUAUGGCUCAGUUGGUAGAGUAUUGCCUUGUAUGCAUAAGGCCCUUGCUUCAAUCCCUAGUACCACA